UUCGGAGGGUGCGAGCGUUGUUCGGAAUCACUGGGCGUAAAGCGCGUGUAGGCGGCCCACUAAGUCUGAUGUGAAAGCCCGGGGCUCACCCCCGGAAGUGCAUUGGAAACUGGUGGACUCGAGUCCCGGAGAGGAGAGUGGAAUUCCUGGUGUAGCGGUGAAAUGCGCAGAUAUCAGGAAGAACACCCGUGGCGAAGGCGGCUCUCUGGUACGGAACUGACGCUGAGACGCGAAAGCGUGGGGAGCGAACAGG
rnacentral:rRNA from 1 species